rnacentral:rRNA from 1 species
GUCGAGCGGACAGAUGGGAGCUUGCUCCCUGAUGUUAGCGGCGGCCUUGUGAGUAACACGUGGGUAACCUGCCUGUAAGACUGGGCCCUCUAAAGGAAACCGGGGCUAAUACCGGAUGCUUGAUUGAACCGCAUGGUUCAAUUAUAAAAGGUGGCUUUUACCUACCAUUUCCAAAGAAACCCGCGCCGCAUUACCUAUUUGGUGAGGUAACGGCUCACCAAGGCAACAAUGCGUAGCCAACCUGAAAGGGUGAUCGGCCACACUGGAACUGAAACACGGCCCAAACUCCUACGGAAGGCACCAUUAGGAAAUCUUCGCCAAGGAACAAAAUUCUAACGAACCACCGCCCCGGGAUUGAUGAAGGUUUUCGAAUCGAAAACCUCUGUUGUUAGGGAAA